rnacentral:rRNA from 1 species
AUUGAACGCUGGCGGCAUGCCUUACACAUGCAAGUCGAACGGUAACAGGUCUUCGGAUGCUGACGAGUGGCGAACGGGUGAGUAAUACAUCGGAACGUGCCCGAUCGUGGGGGAUAACGGAGCGAAAGCUUUGCUAAUACCGCAUACGAUCUACGGAUGAAAGCAGGGGACCGCAAGGCCUUGCGCGGACGGAGCGGCCGAUGGCAGAUUAGGUAGUUGGUGGGAUAAAAGCUUACCAAGCCGACGAUCUGUAGCUGGUCUGAGAGGACGACCAGCCACACUGGGACUGAGACACGGCCCAGACUCCUACGGGAGGCAGCAGUGGGGAAUUUUGGACAAUGGGCGCAAGCCUGAUCCAGCAACGCCGCGUGAGGGAUGACGGCCUCGGGUUGUAAACCGUCUUCUAGUAGGGACGAAGCGAAAGUGACGGUACCUACACGAAGAAGGACCGGACCGAACCUACGUAGCCAGCAGCCGCGGUAAAGUAGUGUGUA